AUUGAACGCUUGCGGCAGGCCUAACACAUGCAAGUCGAGCGGAGCGGCGGACGGGUGUGUACUACCUAGGAAUCUGCCUUGUACUUGUGCAUAACGUUCGCACACGGACACUAAUCCCGCAUACUAUCAGAUUAGCCUAGGUCGGAUUAGCUAGUUGGUGAGGUAAUGGCUCACCAAGGCUACGAUCCGUAACUGGUCUGAGAGUAUGAACAGUCACAUUGGAACUGAGACAAGGUCCAGACUCCUACGGGAGGCAGCAGUGGGGAAUAUUGGACAAUGGGCGAAAGCCUGAUCCAGCCAUGCCGCGUGAGUGAAGAAGGUCUUCGGAUUGUAAAGCACUUUAAGUUGGGAGGCGUUACCGACAGAAUAAGCACCGGCUAACUCGGUGCCAGCAGCCGCGGUAAUUC
rnacentral:rRNA from 1 species